GUUUGCUAUGAUUACAAACUUGCCCUCUUUGAGAGAGUAGCUCUAUUAUGACAGUCAAAUUAAUGUUCUGAGCCAGC